CUAUGACAUAUAUUUGUCAUGGCGGGAGGAG
rnacentral:ncRNA from 1 species